ensembl:lncRNA
AAAAAAGCAAAUUCAUUUUCUGGGGAGAAAUACAAGCCAGCUGCAGAAAUUUGCAGAAGUAGCAAGGAGCCUAAUGUUAAUCCCUAAGACCACAGGUGGUCAGGGUCUUGACAGCAGCCCCUUCCUAUCACCGACCUGGAUGUCUAAGAGGAAAAAGUGGUUUUGUGGGCCAGGCCCAGGGUCCCCAUGCCCUGCUAGCUUUUGGACUUGGAUUUUUUUUUUUUUUUUUGAGACGGAGUUUUGCUCUUGUUACCCAGGCUGGAGUGCAAUGGCAUGAUCUCGGCUCACCACAACCUCCGCCUCCUGGGUUCAGGCAAUUCUCCUGCCUCAGCCUCCCGAGUAGCUGGGAUUAUAGGAGCGCGCCACCAUGCCCAGCUAAUUUGUUUUUUGUAUUUUUAGUAGAGACGGGGUUUCACCAUGUCGACCAGGAUGGUCUCGAUCUCUUGACCUCGUGAUCCACCGGCCUCGGCCUCCCAAAGUGCUGGGAUUACAGGCUUGAGCCACCGCGCCCGGCCCAAUAUAAGCAUCUUACACCUAUUAUUUAAUUCUCACCACAAUCAACAAUUCUGUGAUACAGUUACUAUUAACAUUCCCGUUUUACAGAUGAGAGAACAAAGGCACAAAUGUUAUAAACAACUAUUUUUGAAUGAUUAAACACCCUGGACAAGGAAAAGUCUUUAAUAAGCAAAGAACACAAAACAAAUGCAAAUGAAAAAUCAAUCUUAUUUAUAAAGUUGAAAAAUAACAAUACAUAGGCUUAUUCCUCAAGAUUGAGGGAUAUUAGUGAUAAAUUCAGAAAUAAGUCAGGUUUGCCUAUCCUACUUAUGUUGGGUUUUACACUACUGAGUCAGAGAGCACUCUCAUUUUGCUAAGAUUUAGUCCUCAGAGAUCCGAAAUAAUACACAAAUUGCUGCUGCACGUAUAUUAUCAACAUCUGCUCUUAGAUCCCUCCAGUAACUUUUCUGUGCUUCUGUGUUUCUGGAGUUGUUUCAGGAGAUCCAUAGCCUAGGUUUCAUCACAUAGUUAGUUAUUGGUUCUUAUUUUCUUACAAAACUCAACAAUUAGGUUGUGACAUCUUUAUAGAAUGAGCACUUUUAUUUUACAAAAUUAGUGCUACACAUUAAGUCAUCUGACUAUUCCAUAGUCAACCUUCCUCUUCUCUUUAAAUAAAUCGGUACCAGUUGGUCCUGCCUAGCCUUCCUUUAUUUUAAAGAGUUGAUAGUUUCAGAUAUCCUUAAAGUAAUCUUGAAUCUAUGAGAUCCGCUGCCUGCCUUUUGUAGUACUUCACUAGAAUGCUUUAUUUCAAGAAUAAAGUGGUGGUCAAAGUCAGCAUUUAAAAAUGAUAUCAAACAUUUUUUUAAUCUUGCUAAUUGCUCUUCUUCUUUUUCCAAGAAACUGUGCUAGCUUUAACAUACAUUGCCACAAAUAUAAAUAAAAAAUGCUUACUAAAAGGCAGGCAUUGUGCUAGAUGCUGGAGAUAAAGAGGAUUAAGAUACACCCACAAAGAGCCAAACAAGACAGGGCACCAAAGCCACUCAGCUGACUGUCAUCUUGAAAUUAUGGAUUCUGUGUCAUAAUUUAUCAUCCCCAUUUUGUCCUAGCCUUUCUGAUGCUGGGUAUUAAUUUUCCUUUUCUGAGAGCCGACCCCUCCUCUCCUAUUCUAUUCCUCCACUGUUGAACCGGAACAAAGGUCACUUGAAAGGGAAGCAAAACUCAGCUGUUACCAAAGGCGCAAAGAUCAAAGUUGGCAGCUACGCUAAAGUUCAGGAUUAAGAGACUUCCUCUUUAAGAUCAAAAUUCCAGAUGAUCCAAAUAUAGGCAAAUGAGCCCCAGUAGAACACUCAGCUUUCUGUGCUGAAUCCAGGAAAGAAGCAGAAAUCACCAUAGAAGCAACUCAGUUUCACUCUUUGCAACCCCGUGGGCUCUAUGCUAAUUGCCUACCCCAACAGUGAGAUCGCAUUUCAAAAUAUGGUCAAACACAAAACAGCCAAGUCAAUCAAGCAUUAAGUAUUCAAGCACAAUUAUCCGAACACAUGCCCAAGGACCAGCAGUGAAGCAGCUUAAUUUGGGAGCGGCUCCGUAAUCAUCUCUCAGGGCAGCUGAGAUUUUAACCUCUCCCCUCGGGCCUCCUGUUCGGGGCACUAGGCUAGCUCUCUCUGUGUGAGAGAUCACAACGGGAGCCGCUGCCCCCAGUU